AUGCUCGACGCGUGCGCCGGCGGACGGAACGGCCCUGCUGCUCUCUCCUCCGGUCUCCCUGGCUUCCACGGCAGAGCAACGGGACACACACGCCAGCGCCAAUUAUCGCCUCUUCGCGACCGAUCACCGAUGUACACGGCGUGCGUCAGGAUUUCAUCGUACGUGGACAGCGGCGACGGCGACGGCACGGCAAAGCAACAAACAGGGCAUGCAUCGCCGCACGUACUGUGUACAAGGCCGGCAGGCCGGCGUCAACGCUUCGGUCUGCCGAGGUACACCCGAGUGAGUGAUGAUGGUGAGGGGCAGCCUAGGACAAAACACCGGGCGACGACGGCCGGCCGUGGCCGUUGUACCGACAGGGGCGAAGCCUUGAUUGUGGAAUCGUCCCUGUUACAGAGUGAAAGUAAAAGAGACACGUAA
rnacentral:rRNA from 1 species